rnacentral:rRNA from 1 species
AGUGAACGCUGGCGGUAGGCCUAACACAUGCAAGUCGAACGGCAGCACAGGAGAGCUUGCUCUCUGGGUGGCGAGUGGCGGACGGGUGAGGAAUACAUCGGAAUCUACUCUGUCGUGGGGGAUAACGUAGGGAAACUUACGCUAAUACCGCAUACGACCUACGGGUGAAAGUAGGGGACCUUCGGGCCUUGCGCGAUUGAAUGAGCCGAUGGCGGAUUAGCUAGUUGGCGGGGUAAAGGCCCACCAAGGCGACGAUCCGUAGCUGGUCUGAGAGGAUGAUCAGCCACACUGGAACUGAGACACGGUCAAGACUCCUACGGGAGGCAGAAGUGGGGAAUAUUGGACAAUGGGCGCAAGCCUGAUCCAGCCAUACCGCGUGGGUGAAGAAGGCCUUCGGGUUGUAAAGCCCUUUUGUUGGGAAAGAAAUCCAGCUGGCUAAUACCCGGUUGGGAUGACGGUACCCAAAGAAUAAGCACCGGCUAACUUCGUGCCAGCCGCCGCCGUAA